rnacentral:misc_RNA from 1 species
CUGAGUUUACAACUCCCAAAACCCCCUGUGAACAUACCUAUCGUUGCUUCGGCGGGCUCGCCCCGGCGCCUCUGGGCACCGGAUCCAGGCGCCCGCCGGAGGACCCCCAAACUCUUGUUUUUGAUGAGUAUCUUCUGAGUAAACAAGCAAAUGAAUUA